rnacentral:rRNA from 1 species
GACAGAGGGUGCAAACGUUGUUCGGAAUUACUGGGCGUAAAGGGCGCGUAGGCGGCCUGCUAAGUCGGACGUGAAAUCCCUCGGCUCAACCGGGGAACUGCGUCCGAUACUGGUUGGCUUGAAUUCGGGAGAGGGAUGCGGAAUUCCAGGUGUAGCGGUGAAAUGCGUAGAUAUCUGGAGGAACACCGGUGGCGAAGGCGGCAUCCUGGACCGAGAUUGACGCUGAUGCGCGAAAGCCAGGGGAGCAAACGGG